GCGGCUGUGGCGAAAUUGGCAUACGCGGUGGGCUUAAAAUCCACUGGGGUUUUCCCCGUUGUCGGUUCGAGUCCGACCAGCCGCACCA
rnacentral:tRNA from 1 species